AUGAAGUGCAGAUUGACUAAAAAAGAGGAGGGGUUACAAUUCAACAAAUAUAGGUAAGUUUGGCACCAACUCAGUUAGCAGUAGUUUAAUGGUGGAAAAGCAGUUCAUGCUCAGUUCUCAUCUUCCUGUUUUUAUCAGAUAUAUUUGUUUUCUUCCUGAAUCUGCAAACUUGCAGCAGAUUCAAUCUUGCUAAUUUCGUUCUUUAAGCAGGCACCAGUCAAUCUUGCUGUUAUGGAUUUCCAGGCUUCUACACAACAUCAUUCUGGAUACAAUACAUCAAACUAAUUGUCGAUUUCCCCAGUUUUACUGCUCUAAUU
rnacentral:lncRNA from 1 species